AUUGAACGCUGGCGGCAGGCCUAACACAUGCAAGUCGAACGAGUGGCGGACGGGUGAGUAAUGUCUGGGAAACUGCCUGAUGGAUGGGGAUAACUACUGGAACCGGUAGCUAAUACCGCAUACCAUCGGAUGUGCCCAGAUGGGAUGAGCUAGUAGGUGGGGUAAAGGCUCACCUAGGCGACGAUCCCUAGCUGGUCUGAGAGGAUGACCGGCCACACUGGAACUGAGACACGGUCCAGACUCCUACGGGAGGCAGCAGUGGGGAAUAUUGCACAAUGGGCGCAAGCCUGAUGCAGCCAUGCCGCGUGUAUGAAGAAGGCCUUCGGGUUGUAAAGUACUUUCAUCGGGGAGGCGGUACCCACAGAAGAAGCACCGGCUAACUCCGUGCCAGCAGCCGCGGUAAUAC
rnacentral:rRNA from 1 species